CUACUGAGCUCCUCUCCCUUUUUUUUCUUUUUCUUUUUCUUUUUCUUUUGACCUUCUCUCCUUUUUCUGAUAUUUUCUCCCCGUUCAUUCGACUCCAGAGUCCUAGCUUCUUUUUCUUUACUUUCUUCUCCCUUCCAUUCGAGCCUGCUCCAUCUCUCCUCCCCCUCUGUAUUCCUGUUCGUUUUCCUGUUCGUGUUUCCCUUCUCCUCUCUCUCCAACAUCAUUAACACUCCCUAACUAUUCAAUUUGUGUUGUUGAUUUUUACAUUUCUCAUCUUCCCCGGGUUAGAAUGAGUUUGAGGGAUUUUGCUGUGAAUGAAGAAGCGAUGAAGCGGUUGAAUGCGCCUCUUGCUUAGAGAUCGGUGUGAGGGGUUUGCUAAGGGCAAUACUGUAUAUGGUGCAUUGCGGGCAUUAGAGCUUGAUGGAUCUAUAUUGCGGAGAAGAUAAAUUUUACUCUCUCAGUUGUAGUUUCGGCUGGAAAGUGGAAACAGACAUGGAGACUUAUCUGCUCAGGCAACAUUUCUUCCGUAAUCUCCAUGAUCGGCUCAGUGCAAGGCCUUUUCUCAGCCUAAUUGAGAAGAAGUGGCUUGCUUUUCAGAUUAGUUCCCAUGAUUUAAAAUAAGGUUUUGGAACCCAAGUGUGUAUUAGAGCAGAACCUCGAGCUUUCUUUCUCUCUUCCCAUUCUGCUGGGUGGCCACUCCGUAAUCCACAUUUCACAGAGUUAAGUGGCAAGAAGGUCGGAAUUAUUGGUUUGGGCUGGAUUGGGAUUGGUGUUGCAAUUGCUGAGAGAGCUGAAGCAUUUGACUGUCAUAUUUCUACUACUCCAGAACUAAAAAGGCAUAUUAUUAUUAAGCAUUUGUUGCAUGUAGAUUAUUAUUAAGCAUUUGUUGCAUGUUUUGUCCAGUGUUGAACCUGAAUAGGCAAACAUUUGGUAAUAUUGCGUAGACUAGAAUCUUAUGUAAUAUAAUGAUGACUAAUGUAUUAGGGGCUUUUUAAAGCAACACGAUAAUCUACGAUCCUUCAUGUUUUUAGCAAAGAUCUUUAGCACCUUUCCAAGACUUUACUUUACAUUGUCAUUUGCAAUUAUUCCUAUUACGACGUUUUUUCAUCCAUUACAUAUUCAUUGGAACACAUUUCAAAAUGUUUUAUUUUUCUAAAUUGAUUAUUUUGAAAUUAUUUCUAAAAGAUUUUUUUAUAUCUUGGGGUAUCACCUGCGAUGAGGGUAUCUUCAGGCCCUUGUAUGAUUCAUCUAAGCUAUUGAUGAUUGAUAAUAUUUGGUCUGCCUUUGUUGGAUAGCAUGGAUAGCAUGAAAUAGUUGUUGUCAGCGGCUGCCAUUCAUGUAUAUUAGUAAGCGCUCUUGGUUUGAUUUAUUACAUUCCCUCCAUUUCUGAACUUAUCGACACUAGGGGUGAUCGUGGGAGUGCAAAAACUCAAUUUUUUUUUACAAAUAUCAGUCUAUAAUUUUUUUUACUCUAAUUAUGGUGGAUUGUCAAGCUACCUUCUUGUGCCUGUUUAGGUAGUUGUUUUAUUUGUAGCUUAUAUAUGUCGUUUUUCUUUGUCUAUUACUAUUUUGUAACCAUCUAUUGUAGUAUUUCUAUGCAAUUGGUUCUAUCUGUCUUAAUAUUAUUACCACUAGAACUUAUGUUGCCUGAUUGAUUUUUAAAUUAUUAAAUGUCUCGGAUUUAGUAGAAACAACACGACCUUGUGAAUUGUGUCAAGGCAUUAAGCUUGCUUAUUUUUUGCCACUAAUUCCACUCUUUUGACACAUUGUAUUUGCUACAGCAAAAUACAGGGGUUCAAGAUGAAGAUUUAGUUUCUUUUGUGAAAAAAUGGCAGAAGGCAAAGGCUUCUCUAUUUGGCGGUUGUUGUAUAACUACACCAAAGACGAUAAAUGACAUUUACACGACUCUCUCAGAGCAUUCAGUGCCUCCGGGUUAACAAGUCAUUCACACUUUUGUCUUGUAAAUGACUAAUUAGGAAAUAUGAUCUAUGCUUGUGUAUUGUUGUUGUCUUAAUUAAUUCAUACAAAUUUGUUUACCGAA